rnacentral:rRNA from 1 species
CCUACGGGUGGCAGCAGUGAGGAAUAUUGGUCAAUGGGCGAGAGCCUGAACCAGCCAAGUCGCGUGAGGGAAGACGGUCCUAUGGAUUGUAAACCUCUUUUGUCGGGGAGCAAACAGGCCUCGUGAGGCCACAAGGGAGAGUACCCGACGAAAAAGCAUCGGCUAACUCCGUGCCAGCAGCCGCGGUAAUACGGAGGAUGCGAGCGUUAUUCGGAUUUAUUGGGUUUAAAGGGUGCGAAGGCGGACUGGAAAGUCAGCGGUAAAAUCGAGGGGCUCAACCCAUUUCCGCCGUUGAAACUGUCGGUCUUGAGUGGGCGAGAGGUAUGCGGAAUGCGUGGUGUAGCGGUGAAAUGCAUAGAUAUCAGGCGGAACACCGAUUGCGAAGGCAGCAUACCGGCGCCCGACUGACGCUGAGGCACGAAAGCGUGGGUAUCGAACAGGAUUAGAUACCCCAGUAGUC